rnacentral:rRNA from 1 species
UACGUAGGGGGCAAGCGUUGUCCGGAUUUAUUGGGCGUAAAGAGCGUGUAGGCGGCUAGAUAGGUCCGUUGUGAAAACUCGAGGCUCAACCUCGAGACGUCGAUGGAAACCAUCUGGCUAGAGUCCGGAAGAGGAGUGUGGAAUUCCUGGUGUAGCGGUGAAAUGCGUAGAUAUCGGGAGGAACACCUGUGGCGAAAGCGGCUCUCUGGACCACAACUGACGCUGAGGCGCGAAAGCUAGGGGAGCAAACAGGAUUAAGAAACC